rnacentral:sRNA from 1 species
AUAAUCGAUUGCAACACGGCGCUCAUUUAGUGUCAAAAAGUUCCUGGGGUAACAAGUAGAAAGUGAAUUAAGUGAAAUAAUUGAAGAAUAAUGUGAAAAUGGGCACGGUGUGCAGGUUAAAAAUCGACUUCUGGGAAAUAUACCCAGAGAAAGAGCAUGCAUUGGUUUUGAAAUAGGACGACCUGAAGCCUUUACGAUAGGAAGAUUAAAAACGAUCUC